UCGAACGGGGGCUUCGGCCCCAGUGGCGAACGGUCGCGUAACACGUAAGCAACCUGCCCUGAAGUGGGGGACAACAUCCCGAAAGGGGUGCUAAUACCGCAUGUGGUCACGAGUCGGCAUCGACUUGUGUCUAAAGAUUUAUCGCUUCAGGAUGGGCUUGCGGCCUAUCAGGUAGUUGGUGGGGUAAUGGCCUACCAAGCCGACGACGGGUAGCUGGUCUGAGAGGACGAUCAGCCGGAUUGGGACUGAGAUACGGCCCAGACUCCUACGGGGGGCAGCAAUUAGGAAUCUUGCGCAAUGGGGGAAACCCUGACGCAGCGACGUCGCGUGAAGGAUGAAGGCCCUCGGGUCGUAAACUUCUUUUGAGUGGGAAGAAAUUUGACGGUACCACUCGAAUAAGCCCCGGCUAACUACGUGCCAGCAGCCGCGGUAAUACGUAGGGGGCGAGCGUUGUCCGAAGUUACUGGGCGUAAAGCGCGCGUAGGCGGUUAUUUAAGUCUGGGGUGAAAGGUUCAGCGCUCAACGUGAACAGUGCCUUGGAUACUGGAUGACUUGAGUCUGGGAGGGGGAAGGGGAAUUCCUGGUGUAGCGGUGAAAUGCGUAGAUAUCAGGAGGAACACCGGUGGCGAAGGCGCCUUCCUGGCCUAAGACUGACGCUGAGGUGCGAAAGCGUGGGGAGCAAACGGGAUUAGAUACCCCGGUAGUCCACGCCGUAAACGAUGAGUGCUAGGUGUCGGGGGUAUCGACCCCCCCGGUGCCGUCGCUAACGCAUUAAGCACUCCGCCUGGGGAGUACGGCCGCAAGGUUGAAACUCAAAGGAAUUGACGGGACCCCGCACAAGCGGUGGAGCAUGUGGAUUAAUUCGUCACUAACCGAA
rnacentral:rRNA from 1 species